AUCCAAAGAAGAACGGGGAGUGGGAGUUACAUUUCAGAAACCUGCCUAAGUCCCUUACCUCUCUACUGGUGCUGCUCACCACAGCCAACAACGUAGAUGUGAUGAUCCCUGCCUACUCCCUGAACAGAGGCAACUCCAUUUUCUUUGUUGCCGUCAGUGUAAUUGGAACCUACUGUCUGAUGAACUUACUGACAGCCAUCAAUUAUAACCAGUUCAG